GAGCAGUGUACCGCAGAAGGGUAUGUUUGGGGGCUUAAAUAGCAGAACCUGAUGGCUAAUCCUCAGUAUCGUGCAGGAGGCUGGAUCCUUCUGUUUAUGCUUAGCUGCUGCCGAGCUGCAGCGUUUGCAUAAAUAUUCAUGUGUUUCAGGGCUUGCGCCUUUGCUGCGGCGAUUGCUGCUCCCUUCUCUCCUGUUCCUCUUGCUUCCUCUCUUCCAUUCCUCCGCUGUCAUCUCCCUCCCACACUGGCUUGCAGGAAUCGUGUAGGCUGAGCGGGCAACGCGCGCCAGGCCGUGCAGAUGGUUGUCUGUCUUACUCCUCCUCUCGCUGACGCACGUGUCGGCACACGCACCUUGCAGUGCAAGCGGGAAGGCAUGCACGUACAGACUAGGCUUGCCUCCCCAGGCUGUAUUUCCAGAAGGUUAUUUGGCAAGAAGACUAGAGGGAAGAGCGAGUGAAAAAACCACCAUGUGCGCUACUGAACUCUUCAGGGUCUCUGGGAGCUUUCUAAGGCUCCACCUGGAAAUGAAGAGUCUUCACGCUACAGUUUGGAUGAACGCACAUGUCCAGCCUGCCAUUCCUCGGCCUUCCAGAGCUCCAGGAGGAGCAAUAAAAAGGGAGACGUCUUGCUGCAGAAACAGCUGUUGUGUGUUGAAAUGAGAUGCAAGAUGCAGUUUUAGCCAGCUAGAGAGAAGGCAUCCUCUCUGCAAUGUUACAGGUCUUCCAGACUGAAGGUUUCUUGCAGCUCAUCCGACGGAAGGGCCACCCUGAAGUGCAGUCAGGCUUUUAAAUAGAAGAAUCUAAACACGUGGACCAUACAAGCCUCAUAUUGUUUAAUUAAAACAGUCUGUAGUGCUAUUUUUGUAACUAAAAUUAGAGUUUAAUUUGACUAGCUUCCCUUUUGAUAUCUUAGUCCAGACUGGCCUCAGAAAAGGUCAUGGUUGCUCCCUUGCCGCCCAUUUCCAUUCUAGUCUCCUGGUGAUCCUAUAUUUUCAUGAAUACCAUAAAAAAGUAAAAUUAGUAUAUAAAAUAUAUACAUUAUAUAAUAUACAUAAUAGAUAAUAUAUAUUAUAUAAUAAAUAUAAAAUAAAMAUAAAAAGUAUUGCA
rnacentral:lncRNA from 1 species